rnacentral:rRNA from 1 species
ACGUAGGGUGCGAGCGUUAAUCGGAAUUACUGGGCGUAAAGCGUGCGCAGGCGGUUGUGCAAGACAGAUGUGAAAUCCCCGGGCUCAACCUGGGAACUGCAUUUGUGACUGCACGACUGGAGUGCGGCAGAGGGGGAUGGAAUUCCGCGUGUAGCAGUGAAAUGCGUAGAGAUGUGGAGGAACAUCGAUGGCGAAGGCAGCCCCCUGGGUCGACACUGACGCUCAUGCACGAAAGCGUGGGGAGCAAACAG